CUUGCGAUCUGAAAAUACCUACUCACUGCCGCCGGCCGCCUAGUAGAGAUUGUCUACCGUCGAGAAGGAAAGGCGAUUAGGCAGGCACCGUCGCCGAUCCACAGGCGCAUCCCAGCCGGCCGGCCGGCCACACGGACGAGCGACCAAACGAGAAAAAGAAAGACAUGGUAUGGAUUAGGAGAAGGGCCAUCACUAUAAGCGACCGUGGACCUAAGAAUGAAUGACGUCCUCUAUGCCAGCAUGCAUUGAGACAAAGAUGGGGAGAUGCAUAGAGCACUAACAGGUGGAAGGUCGCAGGCCAGACCAAGCCAAGAAUGAUGGGGCACCAGCGCUGCCGGUGGAGGUGACAGGUGAGUGAGAGAUUGACGGGUUCGGAUGGUGAUGGUGGGAUGGGCCUGUGUGGAGGUCGUUGGCAAUUGAAUCAUGGUGAGGUUUAGAGGGCGGCCACGACCGACGAUCGCACAGUGGAAGUGACGCCUUGCAUAGGGUGGGGCAGCGAGAUAGCUUAUCGUCGUCCUCUGAUUCUAGGAUGCUCUAUUUUUCUUAGGAAAAUGUGUCAUUACUAGUUAUUUUCAGUUUACAUUUUGGAGGGGUAGUAUUUUUUCAGUUGAUUCUGAAAUCACUAGGCUACAAUCUGCUACUCUAUUUCUUUACGCCUCCCUUUAUUUCCGCUUUCAA